rnacentral:rRNA from 1 species
AUUGAACGCUGGCGGCAGGCCUAACACAUGCAAGUCGAGCGGAUGAAGAGAGCUUGCUCUCUGAUUCAGCGGCGGACGGGUGAGUAAUGCCUAGGAAUCUGCCUGGUAGUGGGGGACAACGUUUCGAAAGGAACGCUAAUACCGCAUACGUCCUACGGGAGAACGUGGGGGAUCUUCGGACCUCACGCUAUCAGAUGAGCAUAGGUACGAUUAGCUAGUUGGUGAGGUAAAGGCUCACCAAGGCGACGAUCGUUAACUGGUCUGAGAGGAUGAUCAGUCACACUGGAACUGAGACACGGUCCAGACUCCUACGGGAGGCAGCAGUGGGGAAUAUUGGACAAUGGGCGAAAGCCUGAUCCAGCCAUGCCGCGUGUGUGAAGAAGGUCUUCGGAUUGUAAAGCACUUUAAGUUGGGAGGAAGGGCAGUAAGUUAAUACCUUGCUGUUUUGACGUUACCGACAGAAUAAGCACCGGCUAACUUCGUGCCAGCCGCCGCGGUAA